rnacentral:rRNA from 1 species
UACGGGGGGGGGUAAGCGUUGUUCGGAAUUACUGGGCGUAAAGGGCUCGUAGGCGGCCAACUAAGUCAGACGUGAAAUCCCUCAGCUUAACUGGGGAACUGCGUCUGAUACUGGAUGGCUUGGAUUCGGGAGAGGAAUGCGGAAUUCCAGGUGUAGCGGUGAAAUGCGUAGAUAUCUGGAGGAACACCUGCGGCGAAGGCGGCAUCCUGGACCAACACUGACGCUGAGGAGCGAAAGCCAGGGGAGCAAACGGG